CAAAGAGUAGUUUAAAAAAAAAAUAAUAAUUUUGGAGAUUAUUGAUAAAGAAUAAUCUUUUUCUUUGA
rnacentral:tRNA from 1 species